GAGGCGAUGGUUUAGUGGUAGAAUGCUCGCCUAUCACGCGGGCGGCCCGGGUUCGAUUCCUGGCUGAUGCA
rnacentral:tRNA from 1 species